AAAAGACAAAACAAACAAAAAAAGCAAAAAAAACAAUUUCUAAAACUUGCAUAUAUUACUUCUAUUGGCCAGGUGUCUGUCAGGAAAGAGAAACAUACUCACAAUGAAAGAAUGAAGAACAUUUAAAGAAGUAAGCUUUCAGUAGGUAUAGGUAUGUUUGAGAGAAUCCCACCUAAGGUAGUGAAGCAAAAGGAAAUUUUCAUCAUUAAGAGGGAAGUGAAUGGUUUUUAAAGAGAGUGGCUAUGCUGUUUUAUUUAACUAUGUAAGAAAGACAUGAACAUGUUUAUAAAACCACAAAUAGUUUACCAUAGCUAGAAAGCAGUCAAUCUGGAUCUGUGAACUACUAGCAUCACAUUAAGACUUUGAAAGAUUAUGAGAACCUGGUAAAUAGUAAGGAAUUUAUUUCAAGAUCCUCAAGUUCUCUAAAUUUGAUGUGCCUGAGAAUGUGCCUUCCAUUAAGUCCUCAAGCUGGAUGGAGUUUUGAGAUAUUACAAACUAUGCUGGAAUGUUGUAAAUUCCAAUGCAUUCUGAAGUGAGGCAUUCUCCAGGGCGUUCAACCCACCAAGGCCACUGUAGGAGUGUGUACUGCGCAUGCGACUGUCUUGAGUUUCCAGGAAACCAGACACCUGGAGUUCAAGGGUUGUGAGGAGCUGCUAAUUAGACCUGGUUCACAGGGGACCCAAAGUGCCUAAUUCCAAUCCCCGUCCUAUUAAAUGGUGCCUAUUCCCCAUAAAGGCAGAGCGGGGGGUAGGAGAGAAGUAAAAAGUCUUGUCAGGGCGGAUGGGGAGGGUCUACCCCGGGGUCCUCCACUUAGAGACACCUGGGAAACCUGCUCGCUGGCGUGGUUGGGGCUGCUGGAGGCCCGCGCAGGAGACCAAAUGCGCAUGCGUGUGCUGUGCCGCUCCCGGGGGCAAAGGGAAACGAGCAGCAGCCCGGAGCCAGGCCAGGCCCGACCCAGUUCAGAGGAGAUUAUGAGUUCACGUCCUCCUGGGAUGCUUCUCUGAAAUGCCAUCCUCUGCUGGGCUCUACCAGAGCACAUGUAACCUCACUAUACUUGCAGAGUACUCCCUACCUGUUUGCAUUGAUUAUCACAAGAUUUGUAUGCAUGGGCCAUAAGAGACCAAGGAUCAGAUGACAUGGUUUUAGGCCUGAUUCAAACUCAGCACCCUAGAAAAGGGAAAAACAUUCUUCUGGCUCUCAGCGUUGUCCAAGAAACUAACAGGUCACUGUCUCACAAACUACAUGCUGAACCCCUAGUGGGACCAUGAAGAUACUGUGAGUUUUCUUGAUGAUCAGAGCAGAGGAGACCCACCAGUGGUGAAGUGAGGGAGCAAAGAGAACAGCUGCUGGGUGGCUGUGUGGACUGCGUCAGUGGCUGCAAGGACUCCUCUAAAGAAGAAUCUCGAUGCCGCUCUUACCGGUAGCAAGCGGGGCUCCAUCCUCCAUCUGUCUUCCAGAGCCAGCUGAACAUUUAGCUGAAUAUAUAUCUUCCUUGACUCCUGGCAUGGGAGCUAGCUGCAGAAAAGUCUGAAGGAACCUGACUUUUCCCUCUACACAGCUUCCUUUUCUAUUUGGAUGACCAUAUC